GCCUCCAUGGUUUAGUGGUUAGAGCGUUAGACUCACGAUCUGGAGGUCCGGGUUCGAUUCCCGGUGGAGACA
rnacentral:tRNA from 1 species